rnacentral:lncRNA from 1 species
UUAAGGGCUUGUAAGUAAGCAUUUCACUGUAAGGUCUACAAAUAACAUUUGAUUUGAUUUGAUCUUUGUCCUGAUAGGGAGGGAAUUUGUUUAAGCUGGCCCGUGGCACUGGGUGGAUGAAGUUUGCACCAGGUUCAAAAUGAUUCCAUUCUUUUGGUAACCUGGUUGCCUCCCUGGCAUGAGCCGGCUGCCCUGUUCAAAGCCGAUGGUGAUGUCGGCUCAAAACAAAGAGAGGUAUUGUCAAGACUUCCGACAGGGCCUCUCCAUUACUGGACCUGACACAUCCACGCAACUGAACCCUUCCAAGCCCAGCCACUAAUCCACACAUACACACAGACUUUUUCCUGCUGAAAUUCUAACAUGUCCAAAAGCGAAUACUGGAACAAUACUUCUAACAUAGAACGUGGGGAAUGGUCAGAGGCAAUCUAUAGAGCACUAAUGUCAUUUUGUUUGUUAUUUUGUGAUGACGUUAAAAUGUUAUAAAGGAAAUACUGUAACUUGGAAAGUAUACCCACUACAUAUAUGAAGUUUACAUACUCCGUGUUGUGCAUAUAAAAUUAACAAUUAUGAAAGUGUUUUUGUUAAGAGAGGGAUGUGAUUUGAUAAGCUAUAAGAGAUAAUUGUUUUACCUAACUUUGCACAUUGUUUUACCUAACUUUGAGUCGUUACCGCCUGGAGUGAGGUCAGGGAGCGUGUCAGCCUGCCGGAACCACCCCUUUUGAGUAAAAUGUAUAAAUGAUGGGUUAAGAAAAAAACACAUCAGACCAGAAAGACGUGAAGCUACAGCUGCAGGUUUACAGUGGUUUGAAGUUUUUACUUUUAAUCUCAACACGAGGUGGAGACGAUAAACUCAUCUCCAGGAUGAUCACUAGUAUGGCUGAUUAGCUGUCCUAAGUAAAGUAUCUUCUAAAGCGAAUUUAAGUUGCACUAUCCUGUUACUCUGCUCAAACUAUCGAUACGGCUGGGUAGCCUAUCUUCAAAGAAGAGUGAAUGGAAGGAAAGUCAACUCUGUAGUUCUGUUCAGGACUACACAUCAAGUCACCGGAUACCGGACAACCACAAAGAAGGACAACAGUAGAAGACUUGUUGGAACCAUUUCGGACAAUCAGAGCCUUACAAGCGUGCCGCGAAAAGGCCAAACCCCCUUUCCAAGGCUGCCCUGUUCACCGAGAGAUCCCCAGCAAACCCAGGCAUUUCACGUAAAUACAUUCAUGAUUUCUUACUCAAAGCAGGCGGCGGUUCGUGUGCAAAGUAUAUGGUUACUGUAGGUGAGAGUAGUUUCUGAAUGUACCAAUGCUAAGUGUCUCUGUCCCUCUCUCUCUCCCUCUCCAUCUCUUUUGUAAUUAGCAGCCAUGUUGUUGUCAUUUCGCUAGGGACCUGUUUUCAGCGUAUUAAGUCUACAGUCAAUAACCGGUGCAAAGUGUGUAUGUUUAUCCUGU